UCUUUAAGAAUCACGAACAUGUGUUCGUGUUUUCAUAAAAUACGAUUUGUAUUUUUAGUAUAGGAAAGCUCACCUUGAUCUCUUAGUUCCUUUAACUUGAAUCUUUCGUUCCGACUUUACUUGCGAAGGUAACCUUUUUUAAAACUUCAUAAUAUAAUAAUACACAAAUUAGACUCAAGGACAAAACUACUUAAAUUAGAAUGCAUGCCUUAUAAAAGUCUUUUAUCUCGUUUCUCGAUUUUCGCAUAUUUUCGAUUAUUCGUCGACCGCCUAAGGCGUCGCCUGCGACGCUGGUUGGCCACUCACGCCCAUAUUUCCACCUUUGACUCCUCGUAUUUUCCCUCCACGAUAUCGAACUAAAUCCCAAAAUUUAUAAAAGUGCACAAUUAAAUUUUCGCAACCAUUUCCCCUCGAAAAUAUAUUUAUUCCGGACUUGAGAUAAAUUAUUCAUACUUUAAAAAUUAUUCCGGAAUUUAAUUAAAUAAUUUCAUCACGAUUAAUUAUUGGCACAAAACUUAAUUAUUUCUCCCCCUUAUAUCUCCAAGUAAAAUUUUAAGGCCAAAGACAAUUUAAAUGGAGCCAAAACUAAACAAAACAUCCCAUUUAAUUGCUAAGGCCCAAUUUCUUUAAAAAAAACAAAGGCCCAAAUCCUUUUUUUUAAAAUCAAAAGGCCCAUUUCUACUGCCACCAUCUCCACGCCUCUUUCUCUCUUCUCGACCAAAUUGAGCAAUUUCUCCCAAAUUUUCCUACACUCCACACCAGAGCCGUCGGUCGUCUCCCUUCCGACGCUCGCUGACUCCUGCGACGUAGGCAUCGUCCGAUUUCCUUCCGUCGUACGCCGUUGUACCCAACGCCGCUGCGGUGCAGUUUUCUCCACCAUCGCGUCGACCCUCACACUGGGAAGACGCUGCUGUCGCUGCUGUCACCGCCGGGCUCCGACGCCGCAACAGGCGCUCCGACGCCGCUGUUGAUUCUGCCGUCAAUUCGUCCUCAGCGUUCACCCCCGAGCUCCGCCUUCUGUGGUGAACCGCGGCCGUCGUCGUCGUCAAAGUGGAGGAACUCUGCCGCCGCAUCGCUCCAGCCUUCUCCAGCGACGAGGACGAGCUUCUCCACCGCCGAUCCCCCUGGGUUUGAGAGUCCUCCGCUGCUGUCGUCCAAUCCAGCCAUCGUUCAUCACCGAACCAACCCUGAAACGUCCCGAAACUAACCCGAAAAGCCCCGCACAACCCCGAAACAGCCCCCCCUUCAUGGAUUGAAGGUUUAGAUUGGGGAAGGAGAUUUACCUCGAUAACUCGAUAUUGGUGGUGAAAUUGCAGGACCGAAAGGAGUAGCCAACUGGAUUUUGCAGAUUCAGUUUUUGUAAUUCAAUUGAUUGAGCUCUCGGUUUCUUGAAUUUUCUUGAUGCGGAAACCGAUCAGAAGAAGAAAAUGGAUUGAAGAUUUAAUAUUGAGGGAGAGUAGUUAAUGAUACGAGAGAGAUUUAGGGGUGAGGAGAGUGGGCGGUUUGGAUGUGGGAGGAGGAAAAUAUCUAAGAAUUUUUUAAUUAAAUUGAUUUAUUGACUUGGUGACCAAGUUAGAUAAAUUUGAAUUUUUUAGUAAUUAAUUGAUUAUUUAUUUAUUUACUUGUUUAUUUAAUUUGGCGUAUGUAUAAUCGGUUCAAGUUCGUGGCCGUCCACGUUGAAGUACCCGCUUUCUUAAAACGUAGGAUGUAUUAAAUUUUGUUGGAUGUAUUGGACAUCAAUAUUUUGGUUUUGGGAACUUAUUUAAUUAUUUAUUUAUUUAAA